CCAUGAAGCUGUGAGCGCCCGAAGUCCGUGCAGCAACCGCAAGGAGCAAGCGGCCGAAGGCGAGCGCAGUGACUGGGGCG
rnacentral:rRNA from 1 species